GUGAGGAAUAUUGGUCAAUGGACGAGAGUCUGAACCAGCCAAGUAGCGUGAAGGAUGACUGCCCUAUGGGUUGUAAACUUCUUUUAUACGGGAAUAAAGUGGAGUAUGCAUACUCCUUUGUAUGUACCGUAUGAAUAAGGAUCGGCUAACUCCGUGCCAGCAGCCGCGGUAAUACGGAGGAUCCGAGCGUUAUCCGGAUUUAUUGGGUUUAAAGGGAGCGUAGGCGGGUGCUUAAGUCAGUUGUGAAAGUUUGCGGCUCAACCGUAAAAUUGCAGUUGAUACUGGGCGCCUUGAGUGCAGCAUAGGUAGGCGGAAUUCGUGGUGUAGCGGUGAAAUGCUUAGAUAUCACGAAGAACUCCGAUUGCGAAGGCAGCUUACUGGACUGUAACUGACGCUGAUGCUCGAAAGUGUGGGUAUCAAACAGGA
rnacentral:rRNA from 1 species